AGUAAUUUAAAACUAUAAAUUGUGACAAAAUAACAGCUCACGUCGAAGCUUCAUCUUUUGAUCCGUUUUAGAAGGAGCUGGUUUAUGUCGUCAUUUUUGCUAUUGUUUAAUAAUCGAGAAAAAAAUAAGUUGUGAUGUUAUUGUGAAUGUACAUAGGUAUUAUUUGUGAAUAAAUUUGGUCAUCUUUUUGAAUAAAUAAA